UACGGAGGGUCCAAGCGUUGUCCGGAAUCACUGGGUGUAAAGGGUGCGUAGGCGGGUUCGUAAGUCAGAGGUGAAAGCCCACGGCUCAACCGUGGAACUGCCUUUGAUACUGCGAGUCUUGAGUCCUGGAGGGGCUGGCGGAAUUCGUGGUGUAGCGGUGAAAUGCGUAGAUAUCACGAGGAACACCGGAGGUGUAGACGGCCAGCUGGACAGGUACUGACGCUGAGGCACGAAAGCGUGGGGAGCGAACAGG
rnacentral:rRNA from 1 species